rnacentral:rRNA from 1 species
GAUGAACGCUGGCGGCGUGCCUAAUACAUGCAAGUCGAGCGAACGGACGAGAAGCUUGCUUCUCUGAUGUUAGCGGCGGACGGGUGAGUAACACGUGGAUAACCUACCUAUAAGACUGGGAUAACUUCGGGAAACCGUAGCUAAUACCGGAUAAUAUUUUGAACCGCAUGGUUCAAAAGUGAAAGACGGUCUUGCUGUCACUUAUAGAUGGAUCCGCGCUGCAUUAGCUAGUUGGUAAGGUAACGGCUUACCAAGGCAACGAUGCAUAGCCGACCUGAGAGGGUGAUCGGCCACACUGGAACUGAGACACGGUCCAGACUCCUACGGGAGGCGGCAGUAGGGAAUCUUCCGCAAUGGGCGAAAGCCUGACGGAGCAACGCCGCGUGAGUGAUGAAGGUCUCCGGAUCGUAAAACUCUGUUAUUAGGGAAGAACAUAUGUGUAAGUAACUGUGCACAUCUUGACGGUACCUAAUCAGAAAGCCACGGCUAACUACGUG